GGACAGUCCAGUGUUUGCUUUCAAGCAGUCGGCUUCUUUGCAGCAGCUUGCGUAUUCGUCCUGACUCGCUUCUUUCCUGAGUAGUAAUCUGUUAAAGAUGUCUGUCUUCUUUUCUUCCCUUCUGGAACCUUCCCAGCUCCUGUUUGCUUGGAAGCCUUUGGUUUCUCCACCAGUGCCGCCAGGGUCAACUGGUGAGCCUUUUCCUCCCUGCACAGAGGCUGGUGCAGG
rnacentral:lncRNA from 1 species